GACGAACGCUGGCGGCGUGCCUAAUACAUGCAAGUUGAGCGAUGAAGAUUGGUGCUUGCACCAAUUUGAAGAGCAGCGAACGGGUGAGUAACGCGUGGGGAAUCUGCCUUUGAGCGGGGGACAACAUUUGGAACCGAAUGCUAAUACCGCAUAACAACUUUAAACAUAAGUUUUAAGUUUGAAAGAUGCAAUUGCAUCACUCAAAGAUGAUCCCGCGUUGUAUUAGCUAGUUGGUGAGGUAAAGGCUCACCAAGGCGAUGAUACAUAGCCGACCUGAGAGGGUGAUCGGCCACAUUGGGACUGAGACACGGCCCAAACUCCUACGGGAGGCAGCAGUAGGGAAUCUUCGGCAAUGGACGAAAGUCUGACCGAGCAACGCCGCGUGAGUGAAGAAGGUUUUCGGAUCGUAAAACUCUGUUGGUAGAGAAGAACGUUGGUGAGAGUGGAAAGCUCAUCAAGUGACGGUAACUACCCAGAAAGGGACGGCUAACUACGUG
rnacentral:rRNA from 1 species